CCCACAAAAGCUGAAUAACUUAAUUCAUUAAUCAAAGGACACCCCUCACACUUAAA
rnacentral:antisense_RNA from 1 species